rnacentral:lncRNA from 1 species
GCAAAUAAUUAAAGAAUACAUUAAACCAUAAACAAAUAAAAAACAUUAAACCAAACCAUGAUUAACCUAAGGUUUACACAUAAACCCGGUUUAGAAAUUAAAAAAAAAAACUAAACCAGCUUAACCUAAAAAAAAAAUAUCCUAUCUCUGCACCAACUCUUCGCCGCCGUCAACCGCAUCAAUCUUUACUCUUCCACCACCAUCAAACUUCUUAUCUGUAUCUCUUCCCUUGCCUCUGAACCAACUCCAUCUCUUCU